AGGGGAUGUGAGUGAAUGCAAGUGCAAUGAGAUGAUCUGUGACCUGUAAUUACUGACCAAGACUACAACUGUCAGGGAAAAAUCUGUAUGAAGAACAGCAUGGUUGAAGAUAUUACAUAAAUGAAAUAAGAGUAAUAUAAAAACUGCUACAAAGAAUGAAAGAUAACAUAAGCAUUCUCUCACCACAGAAUCAAUGUACUUCUCCACCAGCGUCUUGCCCUCAGCACCAGUCACCUGCCGCCAUGUCUCUUGGGAGUACAGACGAACACCUUCUGCUACGUAGUACCUGAUGGAUGCCAGAAAAAACCACAGGAGUGUGUGUACCCACCUGUUGAGACAGAGACGAGGCAGCAGCGUUGGGUAGAAGCGCUCACGGGCAGCAGGCGGCAGUGAGAUCAGGAACUUGCGCGUGGCCACUGAAGAUGCCAAGCGGACCUGGGCAGGGGAGAGGGGAGCAGCAAUUACAAGGCAACUGACACAAGAGAGGCAGAUGUCACAAGGCUCUCACUCACCCUCGGCUCCACAAGACACCAGCGCCCCACACACGCUGAAGCCCGUCUCCCUCACAAAACGAUUGGUGUGGG